UACGUAGGGUGCAAGCGUUGUCCGGAAUUACUGGGCGUAAAGGGUGCGUAGGCGGUCCGCUAAGUUGGAUGUGAAAACUCUGGGCUUAACCCAGAGCCUGCAUUCAAAACUGACGGGCUAGAGUUCUGGAGGGGGUAGCGGAAUUCCUGGUGUAGCGGUGAAAUGCGUAGAUAUCAGGAGGAACACCGGUGGCGAAGGCGGCUACCUGGACAGAAACUGACGCUGAGGCACGAAAGCUAGGGGAGCAAACAGG
rnacentral:rRNA from 1 species